UAAAAAUCGUGAGGGUUCAAGUCCCUCUAUCCCCA
rnacentral:tRNA from 5 species